AACGUGGAAACAUUUCAAAGGUUACUUAGAAUUUCGAAUUUAAAAAACGAGAGAACAUUGCCGUUUAUAAUAUUUUAGUAUUACACAAAUGAUAAAAACCGCGGGAACGUGUAUAACUAAUAUUAAAAUAGACUUAAAAUAAUUAUCGUCGAAUCAAAGAUAUUUUAGAUAAAUCAGACUUGCUGCAUAUUAUACCUCGCCGAUGUAUAUGCAUACCUACAUAUGUAAGCAUGUACAUACAUACAUAUGUAUUGUAGAAUAUAGUUCAACGCAGAAUCAUUGUAUAAUUAUAAAGUUACGAGUUCACUCGAAUUACGAAAUUCGUAACGAAGAAAUCGCAGAUUCAUUAAGGGAUAUAAGCAGCUUAAAUAUCUUUACUAGGGCUGAACACAUUAAAUGGUAACCAACAAGAGAAAUGGUGGCGUUGUUCUAUCAGACGAAUGUAAUUAUAAUAAACAAUUACCUCAAUAAUUGAUUUGGUUUAUUUAGCUGUUAAAUGCUAUAUGUAUAUAUUACGUAUAACUAAUACGUAAUAAUACCUGUAACGUAUUAAAUUUUAUUUUGCUAAUAUUAAGCACAGUUUUCACCUUCUACGUACACAUAAAAUUUUUAUUAAUUAAUAAACUAGUGACGUAGUACUUUUAAUCAUUCAUAGCUGUUAACAUGUCCUGCUUUGCUCGUUAGUCGUAAAUGAUUGCCAAAUAAUUAAUUUGCUAAUUUAUUAAUCAAGGCCUUGGAAAGAAUCAAAAUAUUAUUCGAUCCUUUUUCAUACAUUAUACCGUUCCAACAAUAGUUUAUGCGCUAUAUCAUAAUAGACUAUACACUUGGUUUCUAAUCAUGAGACAACACAAAUCAUUACAAAAUUCACUAAAAAACAUAUAUAGCGCUUUGUUAUCUCAAAGAAAUAAUUUUAUGAAAUGUUAAUAUCACUUUCUAUGUAUAUUAUGAAAAUUAUAUUAUUUCGCACAGAGUUUACAUAUUACGCUGCAUUACGUAAAAUAAUAUUGGUAAAAUAAUAUCUUGCGGGUAAUUUUCAAAGUAACUUUUGAGGCAAUGUUUUGUCACUAUUACGUUCGUCCGCCCGAACUUAUCCAAUAUUCUCUCAAUUAAUCACACACCUCUUAUUUACACUCUUAACCGGAGCAAAACUACGAAACGUACUCUCUGUGCAUGUUUGAUUAACGUAAAGUGAUAAAUGUAUGCAAAAAAUUUAAUUAUCAAAGGAAAUUAGUAACAGCAAUCGUUAAUUAAUUUUUGCAACUUAUUACUUUUACAUUUCUAUAUACCUUUGAAUAUAUAA
rnacentral:misc_RNA from 1 species